AUUGAACGCUGGCGGCAUGCCUUACACGUGCAAGUCGAACGGUAACGGGCCUUCGGGUGCCGACGAGUGGCGAACGGGUGAGUAAUACACCGGAACGUGCCCGAUCGUGGGGGAUAACGAGGCGAAAGCUUUGCUAAUACCGCAUACGAUCUACGGAUGAAAGCAGGGGACCGCAAGGCCUUGCGCGGACGGAGCGGCCGAUGGCAGAUUAGGUAGUUGGUGGGAUAAAAGCUUACCAAGCCGACGAUCUGUAGCUGGUCUGAGAGGAUGAUCAGCCACACUGGGACUGAGACACGGCCCAGACUCCUACGGGAGGCAGCAGUGGGGAAUUUUGGACAAUGGGCGCAAGCCUGAUCCAGCCAUGCCGCGUGCAGGAUGAAGGCCUUCGGGUUGUAAACUGCUUUUGUACGGAACGAAAAGCCUUCUUUUAAUACAGGAGGGUCAUGACGGUACCGUAAGAAUAAGCACCGGCUAACUACGUG
rnacentral:rRNA from 1 species